rnacentral:siRNA from 1 species
AAGGGCCUAAUUAUAGACACCAUC